GACGGGGGGAGCAAGCGUUGUUCGGAUUUACUGGGCGUAAAGGGCGCGUAGGCGGCGUGACAAGUCACUUGUGAAAUCUCCGGGCUUAACCCGGAACGGUCAAGUGAUACUGUCGUGCUAGAGUACAGAAGGGGCAACUGGAAUUCUCGGUGUAGCGGUGAAAUGCGUGGAUAUCAAGUGGAACACCAGUGGCGAAGGCGAAUCCCUGGAAAAUACCUGACACUGAGGCACGAAAGCUAGGGGAGCAAACAGG
rnacentral:rRNA from 1 species